rnacentral:lncRNA from 1 species
GUGAAAUGCUGGAAACGUUUUGUCUCCGCACUGUAAAGUACACUAGUCUCAUGCAGUAUUAAGGGGGCUCGCGGUAUAAAUAAAAAAUAUAUAUAUAGGAUUUCGCUAUAUUUUUUUUAAUGAACUUUAUCAUAAACUUUAUAGAAAAAUGAAGAAGAAAAAAAAGUGUCACCGUUCAUUUAAGCUUACAAUCAGCCUCAGAAAGAAGC